GGGCUUGUUUUCCUUUCGGUGACUUCACAAGAACCUACCACAGGUGUCAGGUUUUAGCCCAGAAAUCUCAGGAAAUGGGAUGCUGUUAACCUGGCAACCCCAAGUGAAUGUGAGGAGACAAUGCCGAGGAAAUAUGGCAAUGGCCUCGAUACUUGUAGUGACAACUUGAAGGCUGUCUAUACAGAAAUAAAACCAAGGAUCGGCUAAUUCUACUACACUGCCAAAAUAUCAAAGAGAUGCCCCCAAACUGUGCAGAAGAAGAAAGCCUUCUGUUAGCUCGCUGAGAGGAAUGUAGUGCAGAUUCCUCCAGCACAGUCUUGGGCUUCUGACAUGAUCUGACAUUGUGGAAAGGACAGAGCCAUGACAAGGGCAAGGCAAAUGCAUGCAAAGCUGAGGGGGGCAGGAACACAUAUUAAAUAUGUUAUCAAUUAUCUCAAAUGUGUCAGGCAAAGCAGACAUUUCAAGCUGAACAACACUUACAUUUCAUGAUAAUAAUAUGGUGUGUGGAAGUGCGAGAAGGAGAAGAGCUUUUUUCUACCUUGGGAGCAAUGUGUUUGUAACUGCAGCAAUUACUUUAGCAUGAGUGAACUACCACCAAAAAGAUUCUUGUGUACUUCUAUAACUGUGUAAAACACUUAUCUUGAAAGUUGGGUGUUUUUGUUGUUUGUUUGUUUUUUCAGUUUGGGCUCCUGUUUUAUUUCAGGAAUUCUGAAAACAUUUCAUCUUGAAGUACCUCAUAGUACCCUAUUGAUGCUUUAAUUAUUUUCAUUUACAUAUUUUGCCUCAGUGCCUGCUACACCUCACUUCUGACAUCCCUAUACUGCUUCCAUCUUGUUUAAUCCUGGUCCAUGAAAACACCUUUACAAAUGGAAAUUAGGUAGCUGAAGCUCUUUGUCUGAAACAUUGCCCCU
rnacentral:lncRNA from 1 species